GGCUGGUCUGAAGGUAGCGAGUCGUCUCACUUGACUGCUCACAGUCAGUUACAGAUUGAGCCCCUUGUUCGACUUUCCCCCUUCUCACUACUGCACUUGUCUUUAA
rnacentral:sRNA from 1 species